UACGGAGGUGGCAAGCGUUGUUCGGAAUUACUGGGCGUAAAGCGCGCGUAGGCGGAUCGCUAAGUCAGGGGUGAAAUCCCAGGGCUCAACCCUGGAACUGCCUUUGAUACUGACGAUCUGGAGAUCGGGAGAGGUUGGUGGAAUUCCGAGUGUAGAGGUGAAAUUCGUAGAUAUUCGGAGGAACACCAGAAGCGAAGGCGGCCAACUGGCCCGAUACUGACGCUGAGGCGCGAAAGCGUGGGGAGCGAACAGG
rnacentral:rRNA from 1 species